AAGCCUCUGUGGCGGGUACGGCAGCGCCUGGGGGACAAAUAUCUUCCUGCUUCUGUGGAUUCUCCUUUGCACUACUACGUUCUGUGGGCAUUUCUGGGGCGGCAAAGUGUUAGCAGCUCCAUUGCUCUCUGCUCCUGAGAAGUAGGAGGAGGUAGAGGCCAGUGCAGAGUUCGGGCUGACUGUGACCUGGGCCCGGCAAGAGGCCUUACCCUGAUGUUGCGAUGGCUGAUCGGGGGAAGCCGAGAACCUCAGGGACUGGCAGAGAAGUCUGCUUUACAGACAAUAGGUGAAGAACAAACCCAGAACCCCUACACUGAACUGCUUGUACUGAAAGCUCACCAUGAUAUUGUACGGUUUCUGGUACGGUUAGAUGACUGCAGAUUUGCAUCUGCUGGUGAUGAUGGACUUGUAGUUGUGUGGAAUGCCCAGACAGGAGAAAAACUUUUGGAACUCAAUGGACACACUCAAAAGAUAACAGCUAUUAUUACAUUUCCUUCCUUGGAAGUAUGUGAAGAAAAAAAUCAGCUCAUCUUGACAGCCUCUGCUGAUAGAACAGUUAUCUUAUGGAAUUGUGAUACUGGCAGGCAAGUUCAAAAAGUGUCAUGCUUCCAGUCUACUGUAAAGUGUUUAACUGUUCUUCAGAGACUAGAUGUUUGGCUCUCUGGUGGGAAUGACCUAUGUGUGUGGAACCGAAAAUUAGAUCUCCUAUGUAAGACUAGUCACCUUUCUGAUACAGGGAUCAGUGCUUUGAUUGAAAUACCUAAGAACUGUGUUGUGGCAGCAGUUGGCAAAGAACUGAUAAUUUUCAGGUUGGUAGCACCCAUAGAAGGAUCACUAGAAUGGGAUAUUCUUGAAGUUAAGCGCCUCCUUGAUCAUCAGGAUAAUAUUCUCUCAUUGGCUAAUAUCAAUGAUCUGAGUUUUGUGACUGGCUCCCAUGUUGGAGAGCUGAUCAUCUGGGAUACCCUGGACUGGACUAUGCAGGCCUGUGAACACAACUUCUGGGACCCAUUUCCACAGCUGGACACUCAGCAAGAAAUAAAACUGUGUCAAAAACCAAAUGACAUUUCUAUUCAUCAUUUAACAUGGGAUGAAGAGAAUGUAUUUGUUGCAGUUGGAAGGGGUUUAUACGUGUAUAACCUUCAAAUGAAGCGUGUGAUUGCCUGCCAGAAAACUGCCCAUGACUCCAGGGUCCUGCACAUUGCCAAGCUUCCAAACAGGCAGUUAAUCUCAUGCUCAGAAGAUGGCAGUGUACGCAUUUGGGAGUUACGAGAAAAACAGCAGAUUGCAGCUGAACCUGUACCAACAGGUUUUUUUAACAUGUGGGGAUUUGGAAGAGUAAACAAACAAGCCAGCCAACCUGUUAAAAAGCAACAAGAAAAUGCCACUUCAUGUUUACUGGAGCUUAUUGGAGACUUGAUUGGACACUCAUCAUCUGUAGAGAUGUUUCUAUACUUUGAAGAUCAUGGACUAGUGACAUGCUCUGCUGAUCAUCUCAUUAUUUUAUGGAAAAAUGGAGACCGAGAAUCUGGAUUGCGCAGUUUAAAAUUAUUUCAAAAAUUAGAGGAGAAUGGUGACUUGUAUCUUGCUGCCUAGUUUAAGGAAUUUAGAAUACAUGUGCAUGAACUUGAACAUCAAAUAUAGGGUAAUACUCUGAAAACCAUUAACAUGUACUCACUUAAAUGUGUAAUGUAUUUUUUUCUUGUUACUUUAUAAAAUUCUGAUUGUUUGAAUUCUUUUUUUUUGGGGGGGGGGGGCAUGCAAACCAGCAACAAGUUGCUUCUUAGGUGUGAGUACAUCCACCAAAGAAUAUACCACAAGUAUUUUAGCAGUGAAUUUUCAAAAGUUGAAGUUUUAAGAUCACAAUACAAGUAUCUGUUGAUACAGAAUGAAAGUAUACCAUAGUGUCCUUACAAUUUGAAAAAUUUAUGCUUUAGAAAAUUUUACCCCAGAAAUUAUGAGCUUGUGGUAAAUGAGCAUAGUACUCAGAACCUCUUUCUUUAGUAUAAUUUUAUUACCUCUAAUUCAAUUCUUAUUCAUCAUUAGAUUUUUUUAAAGUUGCAUAUAGUUUCUUUCAUUUAGUCUUUGGAUUUUGGAAUACCUUUGUUCUCAAAUGAAUAGCUUACGUAUCCUUUUUCAUUUCUUUAAAAUUUUAUUUAAGGAAAUAAGUAUACAUGAUAAUUAUAGAAGGUGUUUUGGGAGGAAAAACCCACUGAGGAAGAGGUAGGAUGUAGCAUAACUUGAAUGUAACUUGAGCUCUCCCGGGAACUUUCUUCCCUGUAGGAAAUGGAGAGUGCAUAAUUGUACAUAUGCUGCUGAAGCAGUGAGUGCUGUUCUAAGGUUCAAACAGAACAGUAAAGUUGUGGUUUUAAUUAUAAGCUUUUUAUUCUUUGGUUAUCAUUAGAGCCCAUUUGAUUAAGAAUCCUUGUGAUAAAUUUAAAUAUAUCCUUUCUCUUAUAAAUUCCUCUCAUCUUUAAUAACUAAUUAUCAAGGUUCUGUAGAGCAAAUUUGAAUCUCUGGUGCCAACUAAUUUGUUAAAUCAUUUUUUAUUUUUAGUUCUAGCUACUAAAAUUCCUAUAAACUCAAAUCAGUAGGAAUUUUAAUGAGGAUGUAUUUUUCUCCUCAGUGUGAAUUGGCCUGAAGAGCUAUUGGCUAGAUUGGUACUACACUAGCCGCUGCCCUCUUACAUGCCAGGGGUGAGAGCUUGUUGCUUUCACAACUGCCUCCAAAGACCGGAAGAGCUAAGGUUAUCUAUGCCAGACCAGUGCCAUAAUGUUAUGAAUGAGAAACCUGAGGCCCAGAGAGGUAAGGCCUUGCAAUGUGUUAGCUCUGUUCCCUUAUCAUCGAGCGGCAUUAAAGACAAAUCAAAGAUACUUACAUGACUACCAUGUGAGGAAAAGCAAAUAAUGUUCAGUUAUUUUUUAAUUUAUAAUGAAAAUAGCUUUAUAGAGAAAUAUAUUAAAAUCUGUUCCCUCCAUUACAGAAUAGAAGAACGUGAAUGUUAUCCAACAACUUGUUAUUUGUGGCAUAUUUGAGGAAUUUCAGAAAUAGCUUUCUAAUCUUUUAUCCUGAAGGUGCAGCAUGGUUACUAUCCCAACACCAGGCAGACAUGCAUUCUGGUCUGAGUGCAUCAGAUGGUUGAUCAGUUUGAUUAAAUAUCUCAGAAUCAUUUUUAGGCUUUAAUAUUUACUUCAUUACUAGCUAGCGGUUUUUCUUUGGAAAUUUUACAUUAGAUUGUGAGUUUGUAAAAUUGUUUUCUAUGACAUAUUCUAUGAAUUAUAUGAGAAACUCAUCAUUUUUAACUGCUUUAUUUCCUAAUCUGUUCUGGGUUAGUAAUUUGUGAUAGUAUUCUGUUCACAUGGAGUGAUACAAACCACAGGUGAGUUUUGGGAGCCAAUACUACCAGGGCAAAUCGAUCUAUUACAUACUGUAGUUAGUUUUCUGCCAUAAGAAACUCCUGUGUCUAGAGCAUCGGUUCUCAACCUGUGGGUCGCGACCCCUUUGGGGGUCGAACGACCC